CACACCCGACGCCUCCCGCCGCGGGGGAAGGGAAGCGAAGCGGCGACCCUGCGAAGCGGGUUACGGGGGCGACGGCCGGCUCUUCCCGCAGUGCCGUUCCGCUUCCCUGCCGCCGCGCCGCCCACCCCGCGUGGCGCCGGGAUCCCCCCGGCUUUCUCCUCCUCCCUCAUCGCUGCCACCUGGUACAUGCAGCCGCUGAGGCCAGCGCCCGCACCCGGUCGGGAACGCAGGCACAAGACACUGCACGGCGCCGGACCGGCGCUGCCAACAGAUUGUUGCUCGUGGCCCUUUGUCUCUGGAACAUUUGUGGCUGUGCCUGAGUCACUGCAGUUCCAGUCCUGCUGUGCCUGCUCAGUGGAAGGCUUCAGAGGCUGUCGGCAGUGUUGAUGUUUGCACUGCUGCCAUAGGAGAGAGCCUCGUGGGGUCAGGGAAACCUCAAACAUCCCUAGUGGAAGCCAAAGGGCAGGCAAGAGACAUUUUCCACUUCUCAUGACAGGACAUCAAGGGGUAUUUUUUACUUCUGAAGAGUACAUGUUUCACAUAAGACUGUAGGAUAGACGGCUAUUUUAGUCAGCACAGAAAGAACCCAGACAGAGCUUGAAAAAUAUCAGAAAACACAACAGAGAAUGUUUUCUUCUUGAGAGGAUAACAUACAGGUCUGUGCAUUCCACCACUUGGAAAGGUAUAUUUAAUAUAUUUCGAGUUUUCUCAGUGUCAUGGUGGAUUUUACUAUUCAGUAAAAAACUUAACUGAUCAAUUUGAAUUUCUGCUAUCAAAAUCAGAUACUUAGAAGCUGAACUGUCAGCCAAUAAAAUGAGAAGCAGACAGCCUGUAAACGUUGUAGGAUGAGCUUGUGUAGCUAACAAACCCACCUGUUCCUGCUAUGAUCAAAUAAAUGUUUUUCCCAAUGGAAGUGUUAGAAACACAUUUGUGUCCUUUUCCUGCCAAAACAGAAUUUGCUUGU